GAUGAACGCUGGCGGCGUGCCUAAUACAUGCAAGUCGAACGCAUUGUGGUUGAAAUGAUAUGAAGAACUUGUUCAGAUUUGAUUUUCAACAUUGCAAUGAGUGGCGAACGGGUGAGUAACACGUGGGAAACCUACCUCUUAGCAGGGGAUAACAUUUGGAAACAAAUGCUAAUACCGUAUAAUAAUUAAAACCGCAUGGUUUUAGUUUAAAAGAUGGUCUUGCUAUCACUAAGAGAUGGUCCCGCGGUGUAUUAGUUAGUUGGUGAGGUAAUGGCUCACCAAGACAAUGAUACAUAGCCGAGUUGAGAGACUGACCGGCCACAAUGGGACUGAGACACGGCCCAUACUCCUACGGGAGGCAGCAGUAGGGAAUCUUCCACAAUGGACGAAAGUCUGAUGGAGCAACGCCGCGUGUGUGAUGAAGGUUUCGGCUCGUAAAACACUAGUUGUAAGAGAAGAAUGACAUUAGAGAGUAACUGUUCAAU
rnacentral:rRNA from 1 species